rnacentral:rRNA from 1 species
UACAGAGGUCCCGAGCGUUGUUCGGAUUCACUGGGCGUAAAGGGUGCGCAGGUGGUUUGGCAAGUUUGACGUGAAAGCCCCGGGCUUAACCCGGGAACGGCGUUGAAAACUGCUUGAACUGGAGGGUUGGAGGGGGGACUGGAAUUCUUGGUGUAGCAGUGAAAUGCGUAGAUAUCAAGAGGAACACCAGUGGCGAAGGCGAGUCCCUGGACAAACCCUGACACUGAGGCACGAAAGCCAAGGGAGCAAACAGG